CUGUUGCUGUGAUUCUGUUACUCAUUUUUAACACUUUUUUUUUCCAAACAGUUUUUGCUUGAUGCCUGGCUCUCUGCAGAAUAAGCCGCACAAGGAUUUUGAAAUUUGCUGCAAAAUCAUUUUGAAUCCACCGGAGCUUCAAUGAUGAAUCACCAAAGCUUUACCUCCCCGGGGGAAAACCUAAUCCCAAUGCACAGCUCAGGACCGCAAGCGUAACUGCUGUGCCUCACCCCUCACGCCAGGUGUGGUUUGGGCUGCAGGGCAGAUUGUGGAUUCCGCAGCUUCUGUGGUGCACAUCCUCAGGAAGUCAUCCCUAUGCAACAGAUAAUAAUGACGUCAACGAGCAUGCUGUUCUGCCUUCCCUUUUAAACCCAUAUAUAGCUCUCUGGUGCCUGCCAGCUGUGACAGCUGCUUACUGUGUAGCGUUCUGUUUUGGGCCAGUCUUGUACAAUAGCUGACACAGUAAAGCCCUGAUCGGGGACCCAAUGCACUACCACAAUAAAUCUGUAAUCUAACUAACA
rnacentral:lncRNA from 1 species